AGAGAACGCUGGCGGCGUGCCUAAUACAUGCAAGUCGAACGGAGAUUAAGUAGCUUGCUAUUUAAUCUUAGUGGCGCACGGGUGAGUAAUAUAUAGCUAACUUGCCCAUUACUAAGGGACAACAGUUGGAAACGACUGCUAAUACCUUAUACUCCGUAUCUAUAUAAGUAGAUACGGGAAAGUUUUUCGGUAAUGGAUAGGGCUAUAUCGUAUCAGCUAGUUGGUAAGGUAAUGGCUUACCAAGGCUAUGACGCGUAACUGGUCUGAGAGGAUGAUCAGUCACACUGGAACUGAGACACGGUCCAGACUCCUACGGGAGGCAGCAGUAGGGAAUAUUGCUCAAUGGGGGAAACCCUGAAGCAGCAACGCCGCGUGGAGGAUGACACUUUUCGGAGCGUAAACUCCUUUUCUUGGGAAAGAAUUAUGACGGUACCCAAGGAAUAAGCACCGGCUAACUCCGUG
rnacentral:rRNA from 1 species